rnacentral:rRNA from 1 species
UACGGGGGGGGGCAAGCGUUGUUCGGAAUUACUGGGCGUAAAGGGCUCGUAGGCGGCCAACUAAGUCAGACGUGAAAUCCCCCGGCUUAACCGGGGAACUGCGUCUGAUACUGGAUGGCUCGAGUUUGGGAGAGGGAUGCGGAAUUCCAGGUGUAGCGGUGAAAUGCGUAGAUAUCUGGAGGAACACCGGUGGCGAAGGCGGCAUCCUGGACCAACACUGACGCUGAGGAGCGAAAGCCAGGGGAGCAAACGGG